rnacentral:rRNA from 1 species
UACGAAGGGUGCAAGCGUUGCUCGGAAUUAUUGGGCGUAAAGGGUAGGUAGGUGGUGACAAAAGUCCGAGGUGAAAUCCCUGAGCUCAACUCAGGACGUGCCUUGGAAACUUUGUCACUAGAGUGCUAGAGAGGUUCGUGGAAUUCCAGGUGUAGCGGUGAAAUGCGUAGAGAUCUGGAGGAACAUCAGAGGCGAAGGCGACGAACUGGAUAGAUACUGACACUGAACUACGAAAGCGUGGGGAGCAAACAGG